UACGUAGGGAGCAAGCGUUGUCCGGAAUCAUUGGGCGUAAAGCGCGCGUAGGCGGCCCGAUAAGUCCGCUGUAAAAGUCAACGGCUCAACUGUUGAAAGCCGGUGGAUACUGUCGGGCUAGAGUACGGAAGAGGAAAGCGGAAUUCCUGGUGUAGCGGUGAAAUGCGUAGAUAUCAGGAGGAACACCUGCGGUGUAGACGGCUUUCUGGACCAUAACUGACGCUGAGAUACGAAAGCGUGGGUAGCAAACAGG
rnacentral:rRNA from 1 species